rnacentral:misc_RNA from 1 species
GAUGAAGAACGCAGCGAAAUGCGAUAAGUAAUGUGAAUUGCAGAAUUCAGUGAAUCAUCGAAUCUUUGAACGCACAUUGCGCCCCUUGGUAUUCCGAGGGGCAUGCCUGUUCGAGCGUCAUAUUAACCACUCCCGCUUGCGGGGUCUUGGGCUUCGCCUCCGGGCGGGCCUUAAAAUCAGUGGCGGUGCCGUCGGGCUCUACGCGUAGUAAAUUUUCUCGCGAUAGGGUCCCGGUGGAUGCUUGCCAACAACCCCCAGCUUCUUAAGGUUGACCUCGGAUCAGGUAGGGAUACCCGCUGAACUUAAGCAUAUCAAUAAGCGGAGGA